AUACUGCAGCUUCCUCUGUUCCUGUGUAAGUAUUUGCUGCUAGAAACAGGUAAGAUUUUCUCAGGUCAUGUGUGUUUUUGUGUGAGAUAGAAAGGGAGAGAGAUUUUCAGCUAAGAGUCAUCCACAGUGGCUGAGGAAACAUUGUUCUCUAGCCAGAUGCAGGAAUCAAAUUUAUUCCAUCAGCUCAAAAAAACCCAACCACAUUACAGGCCAACUUCGUGGGAUCUCUAGGGAACUACGCAUUCAGAACAGGCUUCCCUUAUCUCUCUGCUGCACCCUGGGGAUUUAUCAGGAUGUGUCAGCUGUUUCACACAAGCUUCUCACAUUCUCCACCAGCAGCAGAUGCUUCUUGCUCCAGAGGGAAACUAACUCCGAACGGGUGGAAGAUGCGUCUCCUCUGGGGGUCCCUUUUCCUCAGCCUUCUCCCCCUCGUCACUCCCAGCUGCCCUCCACACUGCCAGUGCGCCCAGAGCAUCAUCAACUGCAUGGCCACAGAACUCACGGACGACACCAUGCCCACCUCCUUCCGGCCCUCGACCACCAUCCUCUACCUCAACAGCAACUAUCUCACCUUCAUCCCCAACGGGCUCUUUGACGACCUGAAGAGCCUUCAGAUGGUCCACCUGCGGCAGAACCCCUGGCAUUGUGACUGCAACAUCCUCUACCUCCGGGCUUGGCUCCAGUGGCAGCAGAAUCGGACCUUGUACCGGGACGUAGUGUGCAGUUCUCCUUCUCACCUCCAGGGCAGGAUCAUCAGCUACUUGUCGGAGGACGAGAUCGUCACUACGUGCCCCUUCUGGUACUGCGGGGUGGCCUUCAUGGUCCAGAUCAGCCUUUUUGUCUUUAUCUUCGUGCAGGCCAUCCUGCUUGGCUUCAUCAUUGCUCACCUGUGCCGGUUCCACACGAUAGUCAAGCACGUCCGGAGGAGAACCGCCGAGCUCUACGAGAACGCAGAGCUGUGGGCGCCUGCUUCCUAGAAGAGGGGUUCCCAACCUGUGGUCCGCAGGCCUCUGGUGGUCCAUGGGGGUACUGCAGGUGGUCUGUGGAGAAUUGGCCAGCUUCCAGAAAGGCAACAUUAGAAGAAGAAGAAGAAGAAGAAGAAGAAGAAGAAGAAGAAGAAGAAGAAGAAGAAGAAGAAGAAGAAGAAGAAGAAGAAGAAGAAGAAAAGGAAAAGUGGUAGAUCUGUGUCUGUGUCUGUGUCUGUGUCUGUCUCUCUCUCUCUCUCUUCUUGUGCAAACUCUGUUCUCUGCAUUCUCUGUUCUCUCUCAGCCUAACCUACUUCACAGGGUUGUUGUGAGGAGAAACUCAAGUAUGUAGUACGCCGCUCUGGGCUCCUUGGAGGAAGAGUGGGAUAUAAAUGUAAAAUAAUAAUAAUAAUAAUUCCAAAAUUCAUGCUGGAAGAUAACUAGAUUCAAAUCCAAGGCAUUAUAGAACAACAGAAUAAUAAUUGAGCAGAACAAGGGAAAUGCAGCAAUAUGUGUAUUUAUAAUUAAAAAAUAGUAUCUGCCAUCUCGUGGUCCAAGUAUCUUCAUCCAGAUUGGCAGCUGAGACCCUGGUUGGUUGUAAUUGAGCCGUGUGUGUGUACACACGCACAUACUUUGACCUUGUCCACAACCACAAGAUGAAGUGGUGAUGGCCACCAGUUGGGUGGCUCUGAAACGGGGUCCGGCCAGUUCAAGGAGGACAAGGUCUAUCGAUGGCUACUAGUCUUGAUGGCGAUAGGCCACCUCCAGAUUCAGAGGCAUGAUGCUUCUGAAUAUGCAAUGCAGGAGAUCAACAGCAAGAGCGAGGUCAUGGCUUUAUCUUCAGCUGAUGGACUUCCCAAACGCACCUGUUGGGCCACUGUGGGAAACAGGAUACUGGACUAGAUAGGCCUGAUCCAGCAAGACUCUUCUUAUGCUGCAGGGUGAAAUAUACAGGGUAACAUUCAGAAUGGAGCCCAGCACGGCUCUUCAGGUUACUUACUGAAACCUUGGUUCCACAAGGUCCUCAGCUAGCUACAAUGAGACCCAGUAAACUCGGGGAGCCCCUGCCCUGAACCACCCGCCUUGUCUGUAGAUGUGGUUCCCACUCCAGGUUCAGAAUCAGGGUACCUCUGAAUCCCAGUUACAGAGCAACAGCAACGGGAAAUGGGGCAGGCCUUCAGCUCCUGCUUGUGGGCUUCCCUGAGGCAUCGGGUGGGCCACUGUGGGCCACAAGUUGUUGGCCUAGAUAGACCUUGUUCUACUGUUCUUAAUAGUAUUGUGUGAGACCCUUGCCCAAAGUUGGCAGGAGGGCCUAAGUCGGUGCAUCAGUCACCUUGCAGUAGAAGGCCUAAUCUUUGAGCAGUUCCUCAAAGGCCCAAUAUUACGAGGCUGGAUUGCCAGGAUGGAGUUCCCAUGCCUUGCACUAACCUCAUAUUUCAUAACUGUGUCAAGUGUGAAGGUGCCAGACAGGACAGAUAAAUCUUGCGUCUUCUUCCUUCUGUCAGGUUUUGAUGAUGAUAUUACCACAAACGUUGCAAAAUCUUGUGCCAGGGCUUAUACGACCAGGAAGCUGUUGACUAAAUUACCCAACAAGUGUUGUUUGGGGGACGGGUAAUAGUUGUCUCAAAGAUGAUAGAUUUAUUGAUUUCUUAGUUUUGUUUUACGAUCUCAAGAGUAUAAGAUAUUAUUCUAUGUAUUAAUUCAUUUUGUCUUUAUUAGAUACUUUCUUGUUUUGUAUUAUUCACUUUGUGCUGUUC